UUUUCGAAUGGUUUUUCGUUUCUACUCCAGCGAAACGGUACAGUUUUCCUCCCUCGGGCCUCUAUAGUUUUCCCACACACGCUAACAGGAAUUCCUCAAGGCCGGGUCCGCGCAGGAAUUCCUCAAGGCCGGGUCCUUCAAAGGAUUUCCUUAACGCGUGUGGGAUCCUAAAAGAAGGACCGACAAUAUUGAAAAUAGAAGUAAGAAUGCAAUUAGAACAACUAAAGAAGGUAAAUCUACCGGACCAGACGAAGUUCUCGCUGAAAUUUUGAAAUUACUGGAUGAAGAUAUUUUAGUGGAUUUUUACAACAUUAUUUACGAAAGUGGUACGAACGUCACGCGGUCACUACGGAACUUUUUCAAAAAACUAUCGUAGAAGCGACACGACGAGGCUAUUAGUUUACCAAAUUAUUUAUUUGUAGUAAAUUUCGAAUGCGAUUUUAUUCCCGGUAAACUGUAUUCGAGUAAAAUAUCGUUGAAAAUUUGAAGACAAAAAUAUUAACAAAAAUGGAAGAUUCUUUCAACGGAAAUUACAGACGGCGCCACUGGAUUUCUUACGAUUUGAAAAUUCUUUCGUUACAAUGGAACGGUUGAAAGAUGUUUGACUCGACGACGACAAGAAAAACGGAAUACAUUUUCUGUCAUUAAUUCAUUUUGUGAAAGGCCAAUUGUUCCGAGGAGAAAUCGAAGAAAAGCUCUCGGCCAUUUAAAGUGUCGAUUCGAAGAAGAAAAUCUCUUUGACGAUUACAUUAGAAAGGAAACAGAAGGAAGAUUUCCUCGGAAGCUGAAGACGAUUUUUCGCGUAAACAUUUCGUGAAAUGUCGAAUGGCCCUAGAGUUUGGUAAAAACAUUUUUCAAAUCACAAUUUUCGAGAAAAGGUUAGAAACGAUUGUUUUUAUGAUUUCAAAUUCUUCGAUUAAAGGUGUAAACACGAAAAUGAAAGGAAAG